rnacentral:rRNA from 1 species
GACGAACGCUGGCGGCGUGCUUAACACAUGCAAGUCGAACGGAAAGGCCCUGCUUUUGUGGGGUGCUCGAGUGGCGAACGGGUGAGUAACACGUGAGUAACCUGCCCUUGACUUUGGGAUAACUUCAGGAAACUGGGGCUAAUACCGGAUAGGAGCUCCUGCUGCAUGGUGGGGGUUGGAAAGUUUCGGCGGUUGGGGAUGGACUCGCGGCUUAUCAGCUUGUUGGUGGGGUAGUGGCUUACCAAGGCUUUGACGGGUAGCCGGCCUGGGAGGGUGACCGGCCAAAUUGGGAGGGAGUGAGGCCCGGGCCUCCUACGGGAGGGAGGGGGGGGGAAGGAUGCUCAGGGGGCGGGGGCCAGACGGAUCAACCCCGGGGGCGGGAGGGAGGCCUGCGGGUGGGAAGCCAAGUUCGCUUAGGAGGAAGGGUAAGGAAGGGAAAAGGAGAAGAAGGCCCGGGCAAAUCCGUG